rnacentral:lncRNA from 1 species
CUGGAAGAUACUUGAAUCACAGGACUGAAUAAGGAAGAGCUGCCCUCAGCGUGGCCGGGCAACAUCUAAUCGGCUGAAAGCUUGGAUCGAAUGAAAAGGCAGAGGAAAGGUGAAUUUUCUUUUUAUCCUGGAGCUGGACACCCUGUUUCUCCUGCCUGUGGACAUCAGAAUUCUAGGCUCUGUGGCAUUUCAACUGUAAAACUUGCACUAGUAGCCAGCUGGUUUCUCAAGUCGUUGGCUUCAAAACUGAGAAGUACAGCAUUCUCUUCCCAGGUUCUGAAGACCUCAAAUGGACUGAGCCACACUACCAGCAUCCAGCAUCCAUGGUUCUCCAGUCUGCAGAUGGCCUAUUAUGGGACUUUUCAGUCUUCAUAAUUAUAUGAGAGAAAGAAAAUGAAAAGGAUUUGUAAACUAUAAAUCUCUAAACAGAUGGGAGGAAAGGAAUUGAUGAAACAAUAAAUUUAUUGAUGAAACAAUAAAAAUAAACAUAAAGAACCAAAGGUAGUUCUGAAAUUAGAUUUGCCAACUUUGCAGCUCCUGUCAAAUGUCUGCUCCUCUAAGGAAUGGCUUUUCUGACUUUUAGCAAAAGAUUUUCAUCUCUGAAGGACUGUGGUUACCUUUUCUCAUCUCUCAGGGCAGAUCUUUGAAAUCACUUGGCCCUCUGAGUAGGGGGUCUUGGCAUUUCUUUUCCAGCUGUUAACUGCACCAGAGAUGCUUCACCAAAGUACAGAAUGGUAUACAGCUUUCUCCUUUAAGAGGCUGUCAGCAGGAGAACCCAAUGUGAUGAAGG